CUGCCUUCUCAUGCAAGUCUGUGCCGCCUCACACCUUGGCAGGAAUAUGGAUUUCAGAUGCCCGUGGCUUAAAAUUAUUUUUAAAUAUGGGUGGGUUUUGUAGAAUGCUUCUCAUCUCCAGGCUUUUUUAAUUUUGCAGUGCAGUGUGUGAUCAUCCUUUGAACACAGCGGCGAAUGUUGAAUGGCCCCACAGUCCUCUGAUAUUAAAUGCUCAAAUGCAUGUUUUUUUUCUUGGCAUAAUUACGGGAGCUGUGUUAAACUGCGCUCUGCAGCGACGCAACUGAGGACUGCAGCUGGGGGACUACAACUGGGGACUGCAGCUGGUUACUGCAACUGAGGACUGCAGCUGAGGACUGCAGCUGGUUACUGCAACUGAGGACUACAACUGAGGACUGCAGCAGGUUACUGCAACUGAGGACUGCAGCUGGGGCCUGCAGCUGGUUACUGCAACUGAGGACUGCAGCUGGGGACUGUAACUGAGAACUGCAGCUGGGGACUGCAGCUGGUUACUGCAACUGAGGACUGCAGCUGGGGACUGCACCGGUACCAUUCACAGUGCUGUGUUUUGCUUUUGUAGUUGCAGUGUGGAGUCACCUGGGGGCAUCUUGCUAAUGCACAGUACCACAUGGCUUUUAAAGUUCUGGAGUAGGUGUAAAUUCAGGAACUGGGAAUGUGCAUCGGUGGCUGCAUGGGAGAUGUGACUUUUCUGUGCCUGUGCCAGUGAUUUUGCUGAUGGUGCCCAGUGUCCUUCCGUCGUCAUGGGAAGACAGUUUCCUAGCUGCCUGUGGGAUGGCUCCGGAUACGCCCCCCCGGGCUGCACACUGAUGCUGUUUUCGAAAUCUCCCAAUGAUAUCUCUGGGUCCCGCUGCAUGUUUACGACGUCUGGCGCUGGCAUCCAUCUUCCUCCUCUUCCUCUCCCUCCCCUUCCUGCUCGCGGGAUAGGCCCGUGCUGUACUUCCUGAAGGGCGCAGCGGGAAAGGCAGCCCCACCCAUCCCAACAUGGCUCCGCCCACCGCGCCUCUAAUCCGGCCGGCCGAUGACCCAGGCUUGCUGGGUGGGGCAGACUCUCUCACCCCCUACCCUGACCCCCUGGCCAACUGAAAGUCCUGGACACUGGCAGGCCUGGUACCUUCUGGGGCGAGACCCGGAUCCGGGCCCUUGGUGGUCCUGGGACUGUCAGCUAAGAGUGAGCCCAGAGCAGACGGGCUCAUAACCUCAAAACCAAAACCGACUCCGCCGCCUGAUCUGCUACAAACGUUGCCGCACUUGUACCACAACACACCGUGUUUGUUUUGCUUUAUUUUUUUCACCAUCGCAGAUCGGUUUCGCACCAGGAAGGAUCCGAGCCAAGGCCCCCGUCUGUCUCCCUCCCAGGCGGCCGCAAACCCCCCCGGGAGAGUGGGAGGGGGCGUGCUUUCAGCUGCAGCACACACGUUUAUUUCCAUUGGUCGGCCUUGGCGAUGGCUCCGCCUCCAUGAGCUCAGCGAAACGUGUCCUGGCAACCAGAUGCCGAGUUAACCCCGGCCGUUAAUAAAGGGCAGGAAACAAAGGCUCGUGGGGGCGGUAACGAGAGGGGAACAUGGCCCUCCUUCCGGCAAGGCUGUUUCAAGCGCCCCCCCCCCCCCCGAUGACAUGCCAUGGGAUCCCACCAGCUAGCCCCCAGGGGCCAAUCGCACGCCUGCCCCUGUAGGAAGACACACCAUGCGUCUCGCUCCUCUCACUCCUGUAUGGCCCCCCCAUCGACUGGGACGGAAAUAGACAGGCUGUGCGGCUGGCCCCCCCCCACCAUUACAGUCUGCCUCCACAUGCACACACUGCACCGGGAUUUAACACCAGUGCCCCCCAACCAAUCAGCACAAUGAAACAUCAGACAUUAAGCAUAGAUUGUUUAUCGUUGACUUUCAUGUGAUUCAGUGACGCCCCCCCCCCACACACACACACUCAGGGGGGCACUAUGGCCCAGUUCUCAGAGCGUUGGGGGUUCGAAUCCCGCAUUUUCCGCUUGUGUUGCGUGGGCCUCCUGCAGGCACUGCAGCUUCCAGUUAGGCCAGCAAGCAUCACGAGAUUGUCAUCCAGGGCGUAUCGCAGCCGUGUUCUCCACGCAGCCAGGACACGGUCGGGAAAUAGCUGGAUGGAUGGAAACAUUAAUUAAUAAUAUGAGCACGCCUGGGGGGUGCAGCCAGUCGACGUUGGACCCCUAGAGGUUUUUUUUCCCCUACUAGGUUUUUAGUUUCUCUCUUCCGUUGUCAUCUGACUCUUUCUUUCUUUCUUUCUUUCAUUUGUUCGCAUUUCCCUUUCCUUUUCCCUCUUUUUGUAUUUUUCUGUCUUAAUGACGCUGUUAUGUAUCACAACACACCCCUGUAAAGCGCCUUGGGGUGACUCUGUCGUGAAAAGCGCUAAAUAAAUUGGAAGCUAAACACA